ACUCCAAUGUCUGUGGUCCAGAGGCAUCUGAUGAAGAGUGGAGCUUUCCCAGGUUGUGAUAACUAUUGUGCGGUUGUCGCUACAAAUGGGUGUGCAAUGAUGAGGGAAACGGUUCAGAGAAUGAUGGAGGUGGAAAUGGACGGUGUAAGAGGUGAAACACCAUGUCAGGCAGUUGAAACCGUAAAGGUGGAGAACGCCAUUGUCGCUGAGAAAGAGAAAAAGUCAUCUAUUUCUUCUUACAAACAGGCCAUGGAGGUGGUGAAGAACGGCGAAG
rnacentral:lncRNA from 1 species